rnacentral:rRNA from 1 species
UUCGCCAGGGAACAACGAGCCCCAGCUUAAAACCCAAAGGACUUGGCGGUGCUUUAGACCCCCCUAGAGGAGCCUGUUCUAGAACCGAUACUCCCCGUUCAACCUCACCUUCUCUUGUUUUUCCCGCCUAUAUACCGCCGUCGUCAGCUUACCCUAUGAAGGUCUAACAGUAAGCAGAAUUGGCAUAGCCCAAAACGUCAGGUCGAGGUGUAGCGAACGAGAAGGGAAGAAAUGGGCUACAUUUACUGAGUCAGUCUAUACGGAUAUUGUACUGAAAAAGCAUUUAAAGGAGGAUUUAGCAGUAAGGGAAGAAUAGAGCGCCUCCCUGAAAACGGCCCUGAAGCGCGUACACACCGCCCGUCACUCUCCCCGAACACUUAACACCUAAUAAAUAAGCACCCAACAAAAAUAAGGGGAGGCAAGUCGUAACAUGGUAAGUGUACCGGAAGGUGCACUUGGAAAAACC